rnacentral:rRNA from 1 species
CACGUAGGGGGCAAGCGUUGUCCGGAUUUAUUGGGCGUAAAGAGCUCGUAGGCGGCUCAGUUAGUCGGGUGUGAAACCUCCAGGCUCAACCUGGAGACGCCACCCGAUACUGCUGUGGCUAGAGUCCGGUAGGGGAGCGUGGAAUUCCUGGUGUAGCGGUGAAAUGCGCAGAUAUCAGGAGGAACACCAGCGGCGAAGGCGGCGCUCUGGGCCGGAACUGACGCUGAGGAGCGAAAGCAUGGGGAGCGAACAGG